ACUCCUACGGGAGGCAGCAGUGGGGAAUUUUGGACAAUGGGCGAAAGCCUGAUCCAGCAAUGCCGCGUGCAGGAUGAAGGCCUUCGGGAUGUAAACUGCUUUUGUACGGAACGAAAAAGCUCCUUCUAAUACAGGGGGCCCAUGACGGUACCGUAAGAAUAAGCACCGGCUAACUACGUGCCAGCAGCCGCGGUAAUACGUAGGGUGCGAGCGUUAAUCGGAAUUACUGGGCGUAAAGCGUGCGCAGGCGGUUAUGUAAGACAGAUGUGAAAUCCCCGGGCUCAACCUGGGAACUGCAUUUGUGACUGCAUGGCUAGAGUACGGUAGAGGGGGAUGGAAUUCCGCGUGUAGCAGUGAAAUGCGUAGAUAUGCGGAGGAACACCGAUGGCGAAGGCAAUCCCCUGGACCUGUACUGACGCUCAUGCACGAAAGCGUGGGGAGCAAACAGGAUUAGAAACCCUAGUAGUCCCAUGAU
rnacentral:rRNA from 1 species